UGACUAAUCUCUCCUAAGAUCCCUCCUCUCCUGAGACGGUCACUGAGCAGGCCCGGGAGAACAAGGCCGGAGUUGUGACUUAUGAACACAGCACAUCCCACAGGGCUACAGGUGGAUGUCGGGGUUCCAGCUACCUCCCUGGAGGCUUGUCUUUUUCACUCAUGGUAAUUGGAUUUAAUUCAAUCUUUGAUGGCUGAGGCUCAUCAGUAGAGUCCCUAGGGCUCCAGGAGACAAUUGCUGAGAUGGAGUGAAAUGCCAAUGUGUUCUCAAGGGAAAUAGAUGGAACUCUUCAUCUCCUACCAUCUGCCAGGGACGAAUUGGAAGUAAAGAGAUACAAAAGUUGAGCGAGGAGGGUAUUUCAAGGAGUCCAUGAUCAGCACCCUCCACUGUCUGAUUGUCUGAUGCCCUAGAAGUACUAAGAAGCAAAAGAAAGAUCAUCAAAAUAAAUGGAUAUUUAAACUCUCCCUAUGGUACUACUGUGUUUUUGAGAAGCAUUUUAGUCUCUGAGAGGCAUUCUGAAUCAAUACAAUCACUUCCACACUUUGAUCACUGUCACCCCUUAUUCUUAGCAUUGUAAAUUGAAAUGUUGCACUCAGGCAUACGUCCCUGACAGAAUUUAUUCUUCUUUGCAAUUCUGAUAGUUCCUGGUAUGGAACCCAGUGUGGCCAAGGAAUGUUAAACUGUCUCAUCUUUCACUUGAUCAUC